rnacentral:rRNA from 1 species
GGGUUGUGAGGUUAAGCGACUAAGCGUACACGGUGGAUGCCCUGGCAGUCAGAGGCGAUGAAGGACGUGCUAAUCUGCGAUAAGCGUCGGUAAGGUGAUAUGAACCGUUAUAACCGGCGAUUUCCGAAUGGGGAAACCCAGUGUGUUUCGACACACUAUCAUUACGUGAAUACAUAGCGUAAUGAAGCGAACCGGGGGAACUGAAACAUCUAAGUACCCCGAGGAAAAGAAAUCAACCGAGAUUCCCCCAGUAGCGGCGAGCGAACGGGGAGCAGCCCAGAGUCUGAAUCAGCUUGUGUGUUAGUGGAACGGUCUGGAAAGUCCGACGGUACAGGGUGAUAGUCCCGUACACCAAAAUGCACAGGUUGUGAACUCGAAGAGUAGGGCGGGACACGUGGUAUCCUGUCUGAAUAUGGGGGGACCAUCCUCCAAGGCUAAAUACUCCUGACUGACCGAUAGUGAACCAGUACCGUGAGGGAAAGGCGAAAAGAACCCCGGCGAGGGGAGUGAAAAAGAACCUGAAACCGUGUACGUACAAGCAGUGGGAGCCUCUUUAUGGGGUGACUGCGUACCUUUUGUAUAAUGGGUCAGCGACUUAUAUUCUGUAGCAAGGUUAACCGUAUAGGGGAGCCGAAGGGAAACCGAGUCUUAACUGGGCGUUAAGUUGCAGGGUAUAGACCCGAAACCCGGUGAUCUAGCCAUGGGCAGGUUGAAGGUUGGGUAACACUAACUGGAGGACCGAACCGACUAAUGUUGAAAAAUUAGCGGAUGACUUGUGGCUGGGGGUGAAAGGCCAAUCAAACCGGGAGAUAGCUGGUUCUCCCCGAAAGCUAUUUAGGUAGCGCCUCGUGAAUUCAUCUUCGGGGGUAGAGCACUGUUUCGGCUAGGGGGUCAUCCCGACUUACCAACCCGAUGCAAACUGCGAAUACCGAAGAAUGUUAUCACGGGAGACACACGGCGGGUGCUAACGUCCGUCGUGAAGAGGGAAACAACCCAGACCGCCAGCUAAGGUCCCAAAGUCAUGGUUAAGUGGGAAACGAUGUGGGAAGGCACAGACAGCCAGGAUGUUGGCUUAGAAGCAGCCAUCAUUUAAAGAAAGCGUAAUAGCUCACUGGUCGAGUCGGCCUGCGCGGAAGAUGUAACGGGGCUAAACCAUGCACCGAAGCUGCGGCAGCGACACUAUGUGUUGUUGGGUAGGGGAGCGUUCUGUAAGCCGUUGAAGGUGACCUGUGAGGGUUGCUGGAGGUAUCAGAAGUGCGAAUGCUGACAUAAGUAACGAUAAUGCGGGUGAAAAGCCCGCACGCCGGAAGACCAAGGGUUCCUGUCCAACGUUAAUCGGGGCAGGGUGAGUCGACCCCUAAGGCGAGGCCGAAAGGCGUAGUCGAUGGGAAACAGGUUAAUAUUCCUGUACUUGGUGUUACUGCGAAGGGGGGACGGAGAAGGCUAUGUUAGCCGGGCGACGGUUGUCCCGGUUUAAGCAUGUAGGCGGAGGUUCCAGGUAAAUCCGGUACCUUUUAACGCUGAGGUGUGAUGACGAGGCACUACGGUGCUGAAGUAACAAAUGCCCUGCUUCCAGGAAAAGCCUCUAAGCAUCAGGUAACACGAAAUCGUACCCCAAACCGACACAGGUGGUCAGGUAGAGAAUACCAAGGCGCUUGAGAGAACUCGGGUGAAGGAACUAGGCAAAAUGGUGCCGUAACUUCGGGAGAAGGCACGCUGAUAUGUAGGUGAAGUGAUUUACUCAUGGAGCUGAAAUCAGUCGAAGAUACCAGCUGGCUGCAACUGUUUAUUAAAAACACAGCACUGUGCAAACACGAAAGUGGACGUAUACGGUGUGACGCCUGCCCGGUGCCGGAAGGUUAAUUGAUGGGGUUAUCCGUAAGGAGAAGCUCUUGAUCGAAGCCCCGGUAAACGGCGGCCGUAACUAUAACGGUCCUAAGGUAGCGAAAUUCCUUGUCGGGUAAGUUCCGACCUGCACGAAUGGCGUAAUGAUGGCCAGGCUGUCUCCACCCGAGACUCAGUGAAAUUGAACUCGCUGUGAAGAUGCAGUGUACCCGCGGCAAGACGGAAAGACCCCGUGAACCUUUACUAUAGCUUGACACUGAACACUGGUCCUUGAUGUGUAGGAUAGGUGGGAGGCUUUGAAGUGUGGACGCCAGUCUGCAUGGAGCCAUCCUUGAAAUACCACCCUUUAAUGGCUGGUGUUCUAACGUGGACCCGUUACCCGGGUUGCGGACAGUGUCUGGUGGGUAGUUUGACUGGGGCGGUCUCCUCCUAAAGAGUAACGGAGGAGCACGAAGGUUAGCUAAUCCUGGUCGGACAUCAGGAGGUUAGUGCAAAGGCAUAAGCUAGCUUGACUGCGAGAGUGACGGCUCGAGCAGGUGCGAAAGCAGGUCUUAGUGAUCCGGUGGUUCUGAAUGGAAGGGCCAUCGCUCAACGGAUAAAAGGUACUCCGGGGAUAACAGGCUGAUACCGCCCAAGAGUUCAUAUCGACGGCGGUGUUUGGCACCUCGAUGUCGGCUCAUCACAUCCUGGGGCUGAAGUAGGUCCCAAGGGUAUGGCUGUUCGCCAUUUAAAGUGGUACGCGAGCUGGGUUUAGAACGUCGUGAGACAGUUCGGUCCCUAUCUGCCGUGGGCGCUGGAGAAUUGAGGGGGGCUGCUCCUAGUACGAGAGGACCGGAGUGGACGCAUCACUGGUGUUCGGGUUGUCAUGCCAAUGGCAUUGCCCGGUAGCUAAAUGCGGAAGAGAUAAGUGCUGAAAGCAUCUAAGCACGAAACUUGCCCCGAGAUGAGUUCUCCCUGAGACUUUAAGUCUCCUGAAGGAACGUUAAAGACGAUGACGUUGAUAGGUCGGGUGUGUAAGCGUAGCGAUACGUUGAGCUAACCGAUACUAAUGAACCGUGAGGCUUAACCUUACAACGCCGAAG